UCCACAGUAGUUGUUCUGACUCGUCCUCGGUGGGGAGCCAGAAGGAGGGGGGGUCUCCCGCCUCUGGGAGGGAGCCCAGAAGGAGCUCUGGGUCCUCCUGCUACACACUGGUACACACACACACACACACACACACACACACACACACACACACACACACACACACACACACACACACGUUCACUAGUACGCAUACAAACACCCACACAUGCACUCAGUGGUACACACACAUACAUGCAUGCCCACACAAACACACACAUACCGACUGGUACACACGCACACACACAUAGACACAUGUGUCUAUGUGUGAGAUUUUAUCAUGGAAAAAUGCCCACAUUUCUUGGAAUCCAUGUUGUAUAGUCUGAAUGUGUUGCCCAAUGAUUACACACACACACACACACACACACACACACACAUACAUUUAAAUGUCUCCCAAUCUCUUUAUCUAGCAAACAGAAUAAAACAGAUUGGCAAACAGACUGUGAAAGGAACAGAUUGACACUCACACACACACACACACACACACACACAGUCCAAGUGGUUCAAACGCACAGAGAAGAGUUAUGUACAUAUUUAACAACAGAGAAUGGUUUUAGCUCUGCCGUGGGGACACAAACAUACACACACGCACACACACACACACACACACACACACACACACACACACACACACACACACACACACACACACACACACACACACACACACACACAGACUGAAAGAUGUUGUGUUUUUUCUUUUUCUCCCAGCAGAGUGGCUCACCGUCCACAGCUGUGUAGGAGCCUGGUUCAUCUCAAACCCCAGAACUGGAGUGAAGAUCAUUAUAAAAACAUCUCGCAAUCUCCGGCUGAUAUCUGGACUCCAGCUGGACAUGAAAACAGAGGAGGAAAACAACCAAAGCAAAGACACUGCACAACUAUUUCAGUCACUCCCUCGCUUUCCUGUGCAAUUCCUACCUCACAUGCACUUACAACUCCCUCCCCCCAACCUUUACUCUCCAUAGGAAAAAGAAAACUACUCUCAAAAUUGACGGUUCACAUCCCAAUCCCCCCCCCCCCCCCCCCCCCCCCCUUAAUAUAAGCUUCACAUUUCACCCCCUGAGGCAGGAAGGAAGGAUGCAUUUUAAACAAACCAAAGAGAAGAGGAUCCAAACUGUCCCUUGCCCCAGAAGAGCCCUCUGCGAGCCGCCAUCUUGGAUCUGCCUGUCUCAGUCGCUGGCGGAGACAUUGACACCAGAGGCUCUUCAGAGCCACAGAGAGACCAUUGUCUGCCCCCCGACUCCCCACUAGGCCAAACCACUUGGUCUCUAACCCACUGACUGGCUGACUGGCUGGGUCACUGAUAGGCUGACUGACUGGUUCACUGACUGGUAGACUGGCUGGGUCACUGAUAGGCUGACUGACUGGUUCCCUCAAUGACUGGAAGACUGACUGGUUCACUUACUGGCUGACUGACUGAUAGACUGGCAAGGUUGCUGACUGAAUUACUGACUGGCUGAUUGACUGAUAGACUGGCAAGGUUGCUGACUGAAUUACUGACUGGCUGAUUGACUGAUAGACUGGCAAGGUUGCUGACUGAAUUACUGACUGGCUGUAGACUGGCUGACAGACUGACUGGUAGACUGACUGGAUAACUGAGGUGGCUGACUGAAUGGUUCACUGACUGACUGACUGACUGAGUGGUGGUUGGCUGACUGACUGACAGGUUCACUGAUGGACUUGCUGGCUGAAUUGCUGUAGAUAUCCAUCGGAUAGUAACAGGAAAUGAUGCGUGGGUACGCGGAGUGGAGUGUAUUGAGUCAUCGUCGGCCAUUUUGACAACACUGAUGGAGGGGGCUCUGGCUUUUGAAACUUGGCACCCCUCAGUCUCUCUCUCUCUCGCUCUCGCUCUCUCUCGCUCUCUCUGUCUCGCUCUCUGUUUAGUGUGUGUGGUAUAGACCAGGUGAGAUUAAAUCUAUGGAAAUGAGAUUGAGGGAGUGUACACAUUAACACACUCAUGUGUGCGCUCACACACAACCACACACACACAAACACAAAGACAGUCAUGCGUUACGUGGAAUUACACACGCACACACACACACACAAUACACACUGGCUCACACUAUAGCGGGCAGACAUUCCUAUUGUUGUGAAACAGAGGGGCACUGUUCACACACACACACACACACACACACACACACACACACACACACACACACACACACACACACACGUACACAUACCUAGUCUCUUGCACACACAUACACACUCAUAUGUCCUCUCUCACCCACACACACCCCUCUCCCACAGCGUUGUGAGUCCUUUGUAGAGGCUGGUACAGAUGAGCGGAAAGCUCACAACGACGGGCCGGGCCCUGUUACAGGAAGUGGCCCCUUAAGCCCCGCCCUGAUUCAAUCACCAGGGCCUGUGUUACCGUAACAACCAUCUAUACAUUUUGGGAAUUCUGCAUUUACUUGAGCUAAUGCUGUUCCUCUGUUGUUGUUGUUGUGGUUGUUGGUUGUUUGUGUUUCAAACAACGUUAAACCAAAGAUUCACAGCUCGUAAAAUAGGAAUUGAGGCCUUGGCAUUUUCUGUUAGUUUCUAAGAUUUUUACAUGUUAACGGCAUAACAAAGGAAUAUACGAAGACUAAAGAUGCUUUUUCUAUCGUGACGGACAAUCUUUUUAUACUAAUAAUGAUAUUUAAUGAUAUACCUUUUUGAAUGUGUUUUUAAUGGAAUAAUGUCAUAUACAGGUGAAUCUGCAGUGUUAUUGUGGAUAAUAGCCUCAAUUGAAUGUGUUUUCUAAUAACAUGCAUCUCUGUAUUCAAACGAUCUUCCAUUAUUUCUUUUAAUUCUUGAUGUUUCCUUGAACCAACAAAGAAGGAAACAGUGUUUUUAUGACUUUCGUUUAAAAAUGUUUUUAAAAUAAGGGAAAAUGCAAUGCUCCACCUGGGCUACACGUGCCUUAGCUAAGCUUAGGGUUGACCUGCAUCUCUAACUCGCGGUGUAUUGUUUGAGCCGCGAGCUUGGAAAUAUACUGCAGGUCAGCUAAACAAACUGGAAAACUGCCUUUAAAGACGAUAGUGGUGUCGAUACCGCACAUAACUUUGUACUAAGCAUCUCAUCAACGACAGCAGCCUGUCAAUAAUGCUAAGCUCGAAAGGCCUACCUGAGCUACAAAGGCUAGGUUAGGCUACAAUCCCACACGGCAGGGUGCUCUGACGGAGUCCAAAAGGGUAUUGUGCUUUUUUUAUCCAAGUGAUUUCCCGGCCCAAGCCCUCCUUCUGGGGGUAACUGCUUGAAAAUGUACAAAAAGAGUGAAAAACAGAAAGUAGAAAGAAAGGAAUUGCAAAUGACUAUUGAGCUGUACUGAAUCAAUAUGUAAUUUUCAGGCUCGAAGACGUCCGCUCAAUUCCUAGCCUAUAGGUGUUUGGUGCGUUGUGUUUAUAUCGAAUACAACGUAAUGAAUGCCAUAUUUCAUUCUCCUUGCCGUAUAUAGAUUUUACAUACAUAUAUAUAUAUAUAUAUAUAUCGUUAUACUCAUAGUUUCCAGAGCCGACGUACCACUGCAGUGUUUGUGUACAUAGAAACUAUAUAUUCUCUUCUGCAUACUCUCUGUGUAACGACCUACUCUCUGCAACGAUGUUUACAUUUUUAGGGGCAAAAGGCAUCGGAAUUUCAGAAUUUGGAAUGUCUGGAAAAAUAUUCGGCUGGGCCUAUGAUGUACUUGAUGAGGAUUGCUCUCUCAAAUCGAAAUAAAACUGGAUGCCAACCGCCGUCUGUGUGUGUGUGGGGGGUUGUAUUUGUUCUUUUUUUUUCAAAGCUUUGCGGACCGAUAGAAAAAGGGCGGGAGAGGGAGGUAAAGAGGUAGUGCUUGAACUGUAGGAGAGAGAGAGAGAGAGGGCCCCGGGCCCUUCAGAAAGAGGCCCCAGGUCCUCUUUAGCCCAGCGAGUACUGUAAUGAGCUCGCCAGCUGGUUCGAACCACAGCCACCAGGAACCAGACGUGAUUCCACACGCACGCCCGCAAUCACACGCACGUGUGUGUGUGUGUGCAUCUGUCUUUGCGGUUGGGUGUGUGUGUGUGUGUGUGUGUGUGGGAGACGACGCAAGAGAUUAGAGAUAAGAGGUGUUUGUGUGUGUGUGUGUGUAAGAGAGAGAGAGAGAGAAUGUGUAACAGGAAAGGCCUUAGCUGGGUGAGAGAGGAGACGGGUGAGAGACAGUAGGUGGGAAUGUAGAGAGCGAGGGAGCAGAAAGGGGCAGACAGAGCAGGCCCAGUCACGGGAGGAGGCUGGGGGAGAGAAUGAAGAGGGGGCUUAUAGAGGGGGGGGGAGAGAAUGGGAGGACAAAGACGCAGGGUGGUAUAGCAGAGUUCAGAACUUUUCCUUUUCUCCGGCGGAGAGAACAGAGAGGGCGAGCGAGCAGUGGAAUGGAUAGAGGGAGAGAGAGAGAGAGGGGAGAGAGGGGGAGGAGGAGAAAGGGGUAUAGAGUGAGAGAGGUAAAGGGGGAGAGAGAGGUAGAGAGAGGUGUAGACGGAUAGAGAGAGAGGGGUAGGUAAAGAGUGGGGCAGAGGGAGGGUGAGAGGGAUGGAGGGGUGAAGAGAGAGAGAGAGAGAGGGGUGUUGACAAAGGGAGUGAGAGCGGGGCGAACAAAGGGAACGUGAAGAGAAUGAGUCGGGGGAAACAUCAAAGGGAUUUUUCAGGCCCCGUUACCGGGACAACAGACAUUUGCAUGCGAUUAGCUUUUUACAUCAUAUUAAGAAGGGGUUGGGGUGUGUGUGUGUGUGUGGAGAGAGGGGGGUGGGUUCGCAGGGAACUAUAGAUCAUACACACACACACACACACACACACACACACACACACACACACACACACAUACACACACAUAGUCAUACACACAGACACACACAGGAGCACUGUAAAGAGGGAGAGAGAGACGCUGGUCAUCUCAAGCGGAUGAACUGACUUGUGGGCGGCCAGCCAAGCAGAUCUUUUGAAAGAGAGAGAGAGAAAGACAGAGACAGGGAGAGAGACUGAGAGAAGGAGAGUGAGAGAGAGAGAGAGAGAGAGAGAGAGAGAGAGAGAGAGUUGGCGAAGACACAGCUGGGUGACAGGGCAGACAUUUUGAGAGGUCAGCCAUGAUGGACGCAUGCGAUGCAACAGAAAGAAACACCAGGAAAAACACAACCGUUUACAGGUUACAGUUUACUAGUGUGGCAACCGAUCGACCAACUACCUAACCUGGUUGGUCGGUAAGUCGGUCGACCAAACGACCCAGCCCAACUAGGCUUGCGCUGAACAAACUUGUGGACUCUGAAUCUCCCCUGGGGUUUUUCUUAUUCAGGAAUAAACAAACUGUGUUUUAAUGAGCUGGAUAGUAAGCUUGUUGAUACUGAAUAGAACAAGAACAGAAUCAGAACAACAGGCUUAACGUAACCAUGUGUGUGUGUGUGUGUGUGUGUGUGUGUGCGUGUGUGUGUGUCUGACAUAUGGCCGUCAUAUCCUGACAGAGGAGCACGUAAACACCAACAAAAUGGCGAACGCGUAUCUCGCACAGAGCUGAAAUUCAAUAUUAACACCUCAUUAUGACGCGCACACACACAAACACACAGAGAUGUACGCGUACACACACACACACACACACACACACACACACACACAAUCCGAGGCAGCAGCCAUAUCAUGUGAAAUAUUUUUCCCUCAUUCCACCUCUUUUCCCCUUUCUUUACAAAAUGCCGUUAAACGCUGUGUGUGUGUGUGUGUGUGUGUGUGUGUGUGUGUGUGUGUGUGUGUGUUAAAUGUGUUUGCACGGCCGUACACCCCCCACCCGCCAACUGUGACAUUACACCACCAUGUCCUCCCCCUCCCUCCCUCAUUUCUCUGUCUCUCCAUCCAUCCACGUCC
rnacentral:lncRNA from 1 species